rnacentral:SRP_RNA from 10 species
GCUGGGCGCAGUGGUGUGUGCCUGUAGUCCCAGCUACUCAAGAGGCUGAGGCAGGAAGAUCCCUUGAGCCCAGAAGUUCUGGACUGUAGUAUCCUAUGCCGAUUGGGUGUCUGCACUAAAUUAGGCAUCAACAUGGUGACCUCCAGGGAGUGAGGGACCACCAGGUUGCCUAAUGAGAGAAGUGGCCCAGGUCAGAAACAGAGCAGGUCAAAACUCCCGUGCUUAUCAGUAGUAGGAUCACAUCUGUGAAUAGCCACUGCACUCCAGCCUGAGCAACACAGUAAAUCCCCCGUCU